rnacentral:lncRNA from 1 species
UUUUUAUUUAUCGUGUUAAAUUUACAGGCUAGCCUAGGGGCAUUUAUAUUUUGUGACGUUAAAUCUUCCUAGUUUAUGAUCUGAAUUGUCAGCAUCACUACUCUUGUGCUUUGGGGCCAUUAUUAAGGAAAAUAAGGGUGACUUGAACACCCUUGCUUGAACCCAGGUUCCCAUUGCUUCACCAUGUUGUCCUCCCUCAGGGAUGGGCUGGAAGAGCCUCCACAUCUUGGAAUCUUGCUGGUCACCAUGGUCACAUGAGUCAUGCACUGGAUUUUAAAGGCUUCCACCUGGAAGUGGUGCAUGCUAUUUCCCCUCACAUUUCAUUGGUCAAGGAAAGUCAUGUGACCACACCUAACUUCAAGGAGCCAGGAAAGUACAGUCCUUUAGAGAAGUUCUUGGAAGGAGAAGUGGAAAUAUUGGUAAAUAGCAGUAAGGCCAAAUGUACUAUCAUUUAUUUCAUAUCCCCUUGUAUUUAUUUUAGUUCAGCAUUUUUACUGGUUGAGAUAAUUUUACAUCUUGAUUCUGGUAUGAAUUUUAUUAGCUGCUAAAUUUUGAGAGUUAUGGCAUUUCCCUAAGAACUGCCCCUAGCCUGAUAGUGAUCCACUGACCAGUGUAUUAAGACUACAGUCAUUCAAUGGUUUCAAGUCCACUUUCUCCAUAAGGCGAUCAUAAGAAAUUCUAUCACAUUCUUUGCUGAAAUCAAGGCAUACUAUUUGGAUAUCUUGCCCUUGACUUAUUAAUGUAGGAUCUCUAUCAAAAAAGGAGAUGAGAUGAGUUAAGAUGAAUACUUGAUGUUCUGUAAGUUUGGAAUAUUAUGAACCGAAGGUCUGGAUAAGUGAAUUUUUAGCUUUUAUUUAAACAUAGAACCAACAUUAUUUUAAUAACUUCUGUUAGUGACACAAGGUAAUAUAUCAGUUGGGCUCUCUAGUUGGGUAUUUGGGGGUCUUGCAGACAGUUGGAAGCUGUCAGCCAAGUACCAAACCAGCCUUCAGAACCAAAGAAAAGACACAAUUCUCCCAAAGUGAUAAUAGCAUCAAUAAAGUGAACACUUGCAUGGUACUUGGUGCACGGAUGUUUUGGGGCCAGAGCAGACG